rnacentral:rRNA from 1 species
UGGGGAAUUGUUCACAAUGGGCGCAAGCCUGAUGACGCAACGCCGCGUGGGGGAUGAAGGUCUUCGGAUCGUAAACCCCUGUCGAAUGGGACGAAAGACUCGCGAGUGAAUACUUCGCGAGAGUGACGGUACCGUUAAAGGAAGCCACGGCUAACUCUGUGCCAGCAGCCGCGGUAAUACAGAGGUGGCAAGCGUUGUUCGGAAUUACUGGGCGUAAAGGGCGCGUAGGCGGCCCUCUAAGUCAGACGUGAAAUCCCCCGGCUUAACCUGGGAACUGCACUUGUGACUGCAUAGCUGGAGUACGGCAGAGGGGGGAUGGAAUUCCGCGUGUAGCAGUGAAAUGCGUAGAUAUGCGGAGGAACACCGAUGGCGAAGGCAGUCCCCUGGGCCUGUACUGACGCUCAUGCACGAAAGCGUGGGGAGCGAACAGGAUUAGAUACCCAGGUAGUCCCUGAGCGGGCUGGCAAGGCGCAU